UACGUAGGGCGCAAGCGUUGUCCGGAAUUAUUGGGCGUAAAGAGCUCGUAGGCGGCCAGUUGCGUCUGCUGUGAAAUCCCGGGGCUCAACCUCCAGCCUGCAGUGGGUACGGGCAGACUAGAGUGCGGUAGGGGAGAUUGGAAUUCCUGGUGUAGCGGUGAAAUGCGCAGAUAUCAGGAGGAACACCGGUGGCGAAGGCGGUUCUCUGGGCCUGUACUGACGCUGAGGAGCGAAAGCGUGGGGAGCGAACAGG
rnacentral:rRNA from 1 species